UACAGGGGGUGCAAACGUUGCUCGGAAUCAUUGGGCGUAAAGCGCACGUAGGCGGUUCGUUAUGUCGGAUGUGAAAGCCCUUGGCUUAACCGAGGAAGUGCAUCCGAAACUGGCGAGCUAGAGUACUAAAGAGGAUCGCGGAAGUUCCCGGUGUAGAGGUGAAAUUCGUAGAUAUCGGGAGGAACACCGGUGGCGAAGGCGGGUCUCUGGGCAGUAACUGACGCUGAGGAGCGAAAGCGUGGGGAGCGAACAGG
rnacentral:rRNA from 1 species